GACAGAGGCCACAAGCGUUAGGCGGAAUCACUGGGCUUAAAGCGUGUGUAGGCGGAUCGUUAAGUGCCUUGUGAAAUCCCCCGGCUCAACCGGGGAACGGCUGGGCAUACUGGCGGUCUUGAGCUGCCUAGGGGCGACUGGAACAAACGGUGGAGCGGUGAAAUGCGUAGAUAUCGUUUGGAACGCCAAUGGUGAAAACAGGUCGCUGGGGGCAAGCUGACGCUGAGACACGAAAGCCAGGGGAG
rnacentral:rRNA from 1 species